rnacentral:rRNA from 1 species
GACCAGACUCCUACGGGAGGCAGCAGUGGGGGAUAUUGCACAAUGGGGGGAACCCUGAUGCAGCGACGCCGCGUGGGCGAUGGAGUGCUUCGGCAUGUAAAGCCCUAUCAGCAGGGAAGAAAAUGACGGUACCUGACUAAGAAGCCCCGGCUAAAUACGUGCCAGCAGCCGCGGUAAUACGUAUGGGGCAAGCGUUAUCCGGAUUUACUGGGUGUAAAGGGAGCGUAGACGGCGAGGUAAGCCUGAAGUGGAAGCCCGCGGCCCAACCGCGGAACUGCUUUGGGAACUGUUUUGCUGGAGUAUGGGAGGGGUAAGCGGAAUUCCUGGUGUAGCGGUGAAAUGCGUAGAUAUCAGGAGGAACACCGGUGGCGAAGGCGGCUUACUGGACCAUAACUGACGUUGAGGCUCGAAAGCGUGGGGAGCGAACAGGAUUAGAUACCCUUGUAUAG